rnacentral:rRNA from 1 species
AUGGGAGCUUGCUCCCUGAUGUUAGCGGCGGACGGGUGAGUAACACGUGGGUAACCUGCCUGUAAGACUGGGAUAACUCCGGGAAACCGGGGCUAAUACCGGAUGGUUGUUUGAACCGCAUGGUUCAAACAUAAAAGGUGGCUUCGGCUACCACUUACAGAUGGACCCGCGGCGCAUUAGCUAGUUGGUGAGGUAACGGCUCACCAAGGCAACGAUGCGUAGCCGACCUGAGAGGGUGAUCGGCCACACUGGGACUGAGACACGGCCCAGACUCCUACGGGAGGCAGCAGUAGGGAAUCUUCCGCAAUGGACGAAAGUCUGACGGAGCAACGCCGCGUGAGUGAUGAAGGUUUUCGGAUCGUAAAGCUCUGUUGUUAGGGAAGAACAAGUACCGUUCGAAUAGGGCGGUACCUUGACGGUACCUAACCAGAAAGCCACGGCUAACUACGUGCCAGCAGCCGCGGUAAUACGUAGGUGGCAAGCGUUGUCCGGAAUUAUUGGGCGUAAAGGGCUCGCAGGCGGUUUCUUAAGUCUGAUGUGAAAGCCCCCGGCUCAACCGGGGAGGGUCAUUGGAAACUGGGGAACUUGAGUGCAGAAGAGGAGAGUGGAAUUCCACGUGUAGCGGUGAAAUGCGUAAAGAUGUGGAGGAACACCGGUGGCGAAGGCGACUCUCUGGUCUGUAACUGACGCUCAAGAGCGAAAGCGUGGGGAGCGAACAGGAUUAGAUACCCUGGUAGUCCACGCCCUAAACGAUUAGUGCUAACUGUUAGGGGGUUUCCCCCCCCUUAUUGCUGCAGCUAAUGCCCUAAUCACUCCGCCCGGGGAGUNGGGGGGCAGGAGUGAUACUCAAAAAAAUUGACAAAGGCCCCCACAACCCUUGGACCACUAGUUUUAUUCAAACCAACCCGCAAAAACAUA